rnacentral:rRNA from 1 species
AUACGUAGGGUGCGAGCGUUAAUCGGAAUUACUGGGCGUAAAGCGUGCGCAGGCGGUGAUGUAAGACAGUUGUGAAAUCCCCGGGCUCAACCUGGGAAUUGCAUCUGUGACUGCAUCGCUAGAGUACGGUAGAGGGGGAUGGAAUUCCGCGUGUAGCAGUGAAAUGCGUAGAUAUGCGGAGGAACACCGAUGGCGAAGGCAAUCCCCUGGACCUGUACUGACGCUCAUGCACGAAAGCGUGGGGAGCAAACAGGAUUAGAUACCCUGGUAGUCCACGCCCUAAACGAUGUCAACUGGUUGUUGGGUGCAUUAGUACACAGUAACGAAGCUAACGCGUGAAGUUGACCGCCUGGGGAGUACGGCCGCAAGGUUGAAACUCAAAUGAAUUGACGGGG